rnacentral:rRNA from 1 species
UGGGGAGCGAACAGGAUUAGAUAUCCUGGUAGUCCACGCGGUAAUCGAUGAAUGUUAGGUGUAGCGGGUAUCGACCCUUGCUGUGCGGGGAGUAAACACAAUAAGCAUUCCGCCUGGGGAGUACGGCCGCAAGGUUGAAACUCAAAGGUAUUGACGGGGGCCCGCACAAGCAGCGGAGCAUGUGGUUUAAUUCGAAGCAACGCGAAGAACCUUACCAGGUCUUGACAUCGAUCUAAGCCCGUAGAGAUACGGGGUGCCUUCGGGCAAGAGAAGACAGGUGGUGCAUGGUUGUCGUCAGCUCGUGUCGUGAGAUGUUGGGUUAAGUCCCGCAACGAGCGCAACCCUCGCCCUUAGUUGCCCUUAUUCAGUUAGGCACUCUAAGGGGACUGCCGGUGAUAAGCCGAGAGGAAGGUGGGGAUGACGUCAAGUCCUCAUGGCCCUUACGGGCUGGGCUACACACGUGCUACAAUGGUGGUGACAGUGGGCAGCGAGACCGCGAGGUCGAGCUAAUCUCCAAAAGCCAUCUCAGUUCGGAUUGCACUCUGCAACUCGAGUGCAUGAAGUUGGAAUCGCUAGUAAUCGCAGAUCAGCAUGCUGCGGUGAAUACGUUCCCGGGCCUUGUACACACCGCCCGUCACACCAUGGGAGUUGGUUUUACCCGAAGGCGCUGCGCCAACCCGCAAGGGAAGCAGGCGACCACGGUAGGGUCAGCGACUGGGGUGAAGUCGU